CACACUCAAAACCUCGCGCGAUUGGCUGAAAAUUUUUUCAUUGUGUUGGAACUCACUCAAAACCAUUUUUGAUUGGCUAACUCACUUGGAAACCACCGCGGAAACUAUCGACAAAAGUAUAAAACGGUCUGUACCUCCCCCAACGGUCUCCUUUCGUUUGCCCUCACUAGAGUCUCGGUACUUGCAUCGGAGUUUACGAAGGAAUUAUUUAACAAAUUGCACUAGUUUUUACUCUUUAUGGCUCGUGCUCCUGUCUGUCGGAAGAAGGAUUGUUCUCCCUACGACAUUGGCUUAGUCUUCGACAAGAUCGCUAUUCGCCUCAGGACAAGUUGAAAUUCAUCGGAAAUGUAUGGAAACCAGGUGAGCUUUUCGAUUUCCCUGUGUCAAUAGAGAAUGGAAAUUCUCGCAAGUUUGUUUUAAACUGGCUAAAGAAAUAUCCAUGGCUAGCCUACUCUAAAUAUUACAAUGGAGUGUUUUGCUUAGCUUGUGUUUGUUUCGGAGUUCAGUGUGGGCGAAACGCUAAUAAGUUAGACAAAUUAUUUAAGUCUCCUCUUACAAAUUGGACUUCGGCCGCUUCGCGCUUUACAAAACACGCGCAAAGAAAUUGUGAAAUUCACAAAUUUUCUAUGAUUGCUAUAGAAGAAUUUAAGAAAAUGAUGCGAACAGAAGCUAAAUGAUGCGAACAGAAGCUAAAUGAUGCGAACAGAAGCUGUCCCGAUAAAUCUGCAGUUAAAUAACAUUGUUCAACAGCAAAUUGCUAGAAACCGUGAGAUCCUUAGGUCCCUUUUUAAAACAAUUAUUUUCUGUGGGAAAAACAAUAUCCCACUCAGGGGCUUGAGGGAUAGUGAUCCCACUAAUGCUGCCCUAGCUGGUAAUUUCCAGGCACUGCUUGAAUUCCGGGUAGAUAGUGGUGACCAAAUACUGGAGCAGCACCUAGAAAAUGCACCAAGAAAUGCGACAUACAUUUUAAAGACCAUCCAGAAUCAAAUGAUAUCAACUGUUGGUGCUCAUAUUUUAAAUAAUUUAUCUCAGGAAAUGAGAGAUAGUAAGUAUUUUUUUGUAAUGGCAGAUGAAGGGCUGAUAUAGCAAACAAAGAAAAUCUUUCUGUUGUGAUUAGAUUUCUCGACUCAACCAAAAACAUCAGAGAAGAAUUUAUUGGAUUUUAUAUUUGUAAGGAGGGAACAACAGGAGAGGCCAUCAAAGACCUUAUAACUGCAGCUGUAGUAGACUUAGGAUUGAUGAUGGAAGACUGUUGUGGCCAAUGUUAUGAUGGCGCUGGUAAUAUGGCUGGACGACUUAAUGGAGCCUCCUCGUUAAUCAGAGCAGAACAUGAGAAGGCAAUUUUUGUCCAUUGCAUGAAUCACCAGCUGAAUUUGUGUAUUGCCAAUACCUGCCAAAUACCAAAUGUCAGAAACAUGAUGGAUGUUGUGCGAAAGCUUUUUGAAUUUUUUGACAACUCUUCCAAGCGACAAGAACAUUUAGAAUUCAAGAUCAUAGAUCUUUUGCAAAAAAAAAAAGGUAUUUCGAUCAUACCCUCUGUUUUGAUUGCUACUGAUGACUGGAAGCCUAAUUUUUUAGAAUUUUGUAACUAUUACUGACAGGACAUGCCAAAUUAUAUAGGUUUACAGGCAGAGCUUUUAUUAUGGGAGAGAUUAUGGAAGGGGAGGGAUAACAGAGGAGAAGUGAUUCCAGACACUCUUAAGGCUACACUGGAGGAUAUUGACAAAGAUGCAUAUGUCAAUAUUUAUUUCAUGUUAAAGAUCCUGAUCACACUUCCAAUUUCAUCUGCUUCUUGUGAGAGAUCCAUUUCAUCCCUUCGAAAUCUUAAAACCAAUUUGAGAAGCACAAUGACUGAGGACAGAUUGAAUGGGCUGGCACUAAUGUAUACCCACAAAGACAUGGAUUUAGACCUGGACAGAAUAAUAGAUUUAUUUGCUCAAUUGCACCCUAGGAGAAUGAGAAUGGCAAACAUAUCAGCUUAAAUUUUUGCACCAUCUGUUUCUAGAGGGCUUGUGAGUUAUGUUCCAUCUGGGUCUUACCCUUAAACUGAUGGAGAACAGCUACAGAAACUCAAACUGGUGCCUGUAUAACUUUCUUAAAAAGUCAUUUCUAGAUGUUUUUUUUUUAUUUAGUGAUGAUUUCAAUUUUUCUAUUGACACUGGGAUUUCAUGUUAAGCUCAAAUGGUUUACAAACAUUUUCCUGGGCUCCAGAAGAUGCAGUUUCAAAGGAUAAAAAGGGGAGUAUUUUUCAAAUUAUAUAUAUAUAUAUAUAUUUUUUAUAAUCAUUUAGUACUUCUCAUUUUUAUAACUUGAUAUUAAUGUUGCAUUUUUCUCCAGAGCUCCAGUGGCUGCAGUCCCCAAGGAUGAAAAAGGGGAGUUUUUUUUUCAAAUUAUAUUGUCUCUAAUUUGUACAUAUCUUUUGUAUAUGACAUAUGAUAUUAAUAUUGGAUUUUUUUUUUCUCAUUAUCUUGAAAACUCCUGGACCAAGGACCAACCACAGGCUUGCCAUCUAUAAGUACCAUUUUUCCUUCUCCUGCUCAAAGACAGUUAGUAGGCAGCUAUAUUGGACAUAGACCAGUGGCACUGGUUUGGAUACCAGAUAUUUUUUUUGUAGAGCAAGGUGUUCCAUGUACCACCUUCAACAAAAUAAAACUUUUUUUGCCUUUAUGAUAGCAUGUUUUUUUGUUCUUUUUGGGGUAAUUAACUUUUCUGAAAAUGCAGAAAAUGGCAUUUAUAGAGCUUGAAAUUUCAAAUUUUUUUGGGGAGCACGCCCCCAAACACCCCUAUUGUUGGUGUUUCGGUGGAAACUACUCACUCAAAAACCUGGAUCCACCCCAUGCAGGCUACUAAAAAAUGGAGGCAAAUCCUAAAUUACUGAAAGUUUCUAAUUACAAACCAAACCAUGUUCAUUGAUCUAUGUUUGGGGCAGAGAGGAAUAAAUAUACAAAUAAACAAAAAGUCAAUGGGGAGCAAAGAAAAGGGAGAAAUGUGACUCUAUUUGAAAAAAAAAUGUUACUCUAUUCUAAAACAUUUAAAACAGUAAUGCAAUAAUAACUUGACUGAGCACCUUCCUAGUAUUUUUCCUUUUCCCUUUUACCUUUAGGAUUGAUAUAAAACUGUUUUCUUUACAAAUUUUUUAAUAAAAAAGCACAAGUUUGUUGUUAUCUUUAUAUAAUUAAAGUACUUUGAUCUAAUAAAAACCUCUUCCCUUUAUAGAACUUGUAUCAAAGUUACAUUCUGACCAGCUUUGCCCUUGCAAAGAAACAAAUAAUGAAUGAAACAGCAUUCCAAAGAUAUAAUGAUACAGUUAUACAUUUCAGGUGCCAUAUGGAAGUUUUGUGUAUAUUUGUUAAGUUGUGUAAGUUUGUGGAUAUUACAGUCAUACAUUACAUAUUGGUGCACCCACCCUUUAGCAUGGUGGCCUGCUGUUUUAUAGAAACCCUGGAUCCACACAUGCUAAUGCUACUCCAAAAUUAAAUGCAAUGGAGAAGAACAAAUUUACUUGGGAAGCAAAUUCUAAAAAAAAAUCCUUGAUAUUAAUGAAAGUAGGGCUAAAUGAAAAUGUCUUACUUCAAACAACCUAUUUAAAUUUAUUUAUGGUGCAGAGGGGAAACAGCCAAUAUUUUUCAAUUGCGUACAAAAAUAGUGAACAGAGAUGGAAAAAAGAAAGAAAUUGGACAAUAUCUAUGAUAAAUGCAAUAACACUGAUCCUAACAUUUUCCCUUUCCUCAUUAUCUUUAGGUUGAUAGAAAAAGUUUUCUUUACAGAUUUAUCAUUGAGAGCAAGUAUCUUGCUCUAAAAAACCUUUUAAACUGUCGCAUAAAAGUAAGAAAUCCCCUACUAUAUUAUCUUAAUAUUUGCCUAUUAUUAUGCCUUCCAGCCUUUAGAAUCAAUCAUGGCCCUCAGGUAGUCCUUGGUUGGUUUUACC